UAGGGAAUAUUGGACAAUGGGCGCAAGCCUGAUCCAGCAAUGCCGCGUGAGCGAUGAAGGCCUUAGGGUUGUAAAGCUCUUUUACCCGGGAUGAUAAUGACAGUACCGGGAGAAUAAGCCCCGGCUAACUCCGUGCCAGCAGCCGCGGUAAUACGGAGGGGGCUAGCGUUGUUCGGAAUUACUGGGCGUAAAGCGCACGUGGGCGGUUAUUUAAGUCAGGGGUGAAAGCCCGGAGCUCAACUCCGGAAUUGCCCUUGAGACUGGAUAGCUAGAAUCACGGAGAGGUGGGUGGAAUUCCGAGUGUAGAGGUGAAAUUCGUAGAUAUUCGAAAGAACACCAGUGGCGAAGGCGGCCCACUGGACGUGUAUUGACGCUGAGGUGCAAAAGCGUGGGGAGCAAACA
rnacentral:rRNA from 1 species